UACGGAGGGGGUUAGCGUUGUUCGGAAUUACUGGGCGUAAAGCGCGCGUAGGCGGACCAGAAAGUUGGGGGUGAAAUCCCGGGGCUCAACCCCGGAACUGCCUCCAAAACUGCUAGUCUAGAGUUCGAGAGAGGUGAGUGGAAUUCCGAGUGUAGAGGUGAAAUUCGUAGAUAUUCGGAGGAACACCAGUGGCGAAGGCGGCUCACUGGCUCGAUACUGACGCUGAGGUGCGAAAGUGUGGGGAGCAAACAGG
rnacentral:rRNA from 1 species